rnacentral:rRNA from 1 species
UAACAGCUCAAAUUUGAAAUCUGGCUCCUCUGGAGUCCGAGUUGUAAUUUGUAGAAGAUGCUUUGGGUGAUGGGUUCGGCCUAAGUUCCUUGGAACAGGACGUCAUAGAGGGUGAGAAUCCCGUAUGUGGCCGAGGCCCACGCCCGUGUAAAGCUCUUUCAACGAGUCGAGUUGUUUGGGAAUGCAGCUCAAUUUGGGUGGCAAUUUCAUCUAAAGCUAAAUAUGGGCCAGACUGGAUAGCGCACAAGUAGAGUGAUCGAAAGAUGAAAAGCACUUUGGAAAGAGAGUUAAACAGUACGUGAAAUUGUUGAAAGGGAAGCGCUUGCACCCAGACUUGGGCGCUGCUGAUCACCUUGCGUUCUGCGCAAGUGCACUCGACAGCGCACAGGCCAGCAUCGGAGCGGGUGGCUGGAUAAAGGCCGUAGGAACGUAGCUCUCUUCGGGGAGUGUUAUAGCCUACGGUGCCAUGCAGCCCAGCCGGACCGAGGACCGCGCCUUCGGGUAGGAUGCUGGCGUAAUGGGUGUAAGCGACCCG